AUGGCCAGGCUGUCAGACAAAGAGUAUCUAGAAACAUUGUUGUUGUCAUGGGAGGAUAACAGCACGAGCCUUCAAGCAGAGGCAGCAAAGGAUGUGCUUGAAGUUCUUCAGCCACAUCAGGAUCUCAAAACUCUAGAAAUAACCGGAUAUGGUGGUGCUACCUCCCCAACCUGGCUUUCUAAUAAUUCCUCACUUACCUUGCUGCAGAUACUUCAUCUAGAGAAGUGCAGGGAAUGGCAAAUUCUUCCAACUCCUGAAAUGCUUCCUUUCCUUAGGAAGUUGACAUUGAUCAGAAUGUUGAAUUUAACGGAAAUCUCAGUUCCUUCCUUGGAAGAGCUGAUCUUGAUUGAUAUGCCCAAAUUGGAAAAGUGUAUCGGUUCUUACGGAAUGGAAUUGACUUCCCGUCUAAGGGUUUUGAUGAUCAAAAACUGCCCUCAACUGAACGAGUGCACUCAUUUCCAGAGUUACUCUUCUUUCGACGCAGAGCAGAAGUCAUGGUUUCCGUCUCUCCGCAAACUGUCCAUCGGGAUGUGUCCUCAUAUACUAAACAACUGGCCAGUCCUUCCAUUAAGAGAUAUGGGGGCGCUCAAGGAGCUGGAGUUGAUGGACCUGCAUGUUGUGAGAGAAUUGGCAGUCCCUUCUCUGAAGAAGUUGGUGUUGAUAAAAAUGUCAAGCCUGGAAGUUUGCAGCAGUCUAACGACUUCCCCACCUCUGCAACUUUUACCUUCCCAAGGUGCUCAAAGGGGAUGGCCAUCAAGUCUCCGUAGACUCGUCAAGGGGGUUCGGACCCUUCCAACAAUAAGGAUAAGACAGAGAGGUUUCACUGUCGAAUCUAAUGAGUUGUCCCUGCUUGAUGACAGUAUCCUGGCGUUCAAUAACCUUGGGGGCACAAUAUCAUUGCGCAUAGAAAAUAGUCCAAAUCUUGUAUCUCUUUCAAUUGAAGCUUUCAGCCAGCUCAUUGCUUUAGAGUAUUUAUAUAUACGCAACUGCCCUAAUCUGACCAUGUCAAACACUAUCUCAGAGUUUGUCCAGGAAAACAGUAUGCCUGCAAGCAACAUUGUCCUCCCAUCUCUCAAACAUGUUAACAUUGACACAUGUGGAGUAACAGGGAGGUGGCUAACACAAAUGCUUUCACAUUCACCGUCCCUUGAGAGGUUGCAAUUAACUAACUGUCCGCAGAUAAAGUUUCUAUCAAUCAGUCAACCUACAGAAACGGAAGGAACCAGGAGUUUGGCUUCAACAGCGAUGACCACAGCCCAAGAUGAACAGGAACUAAAACUGCCAUAUAAUCUCCUAUGUUCUCUCAAGACGUUAUGUAUUUCGAAGAGCCUGGACCUGGAGUUCUGCGGGGGUAAGAGAGAGCUCACAGGAUUCACCUCUCUUAGGAAGCUACACCUUGUUGGUUGCCCCAAGCUAGUCUCAUCGUGGAUUGGGGAAACAAAUGAUGAUGGUACCAUGCAUGUUAGUAGAUUGCUCCCGCCAUCACUUGAAGACCUUUGUAUGGGUCCUCUCCCAGAAAACUUGCAGUCAUUCACUCCCCAAGGCCUUCUCUGCCUCAAAAGGUUAAAUCUAUUUAGUGGCCCGUGUUUGAAGUCUGUGCAGCUACAUUCCUGUACGGCCUUGGAGUUCUUGCGAAUCGCAUGUUGUGUCCAGCUGGCUGCACUGGAGGGCUUGCAGUUUCUCAGCUCUCUCCGAAGCUUGUGGAUGGAGAUGAAUCCCGAGCUGUCUUCUGCAUGGGAUCUCAAACUGCUGGAGCAAGAACAGGGUGGCAAUCAAAUUCAGCUGCUUCCUCCCUCACUUGUAGAACUUCGGAUCUGGAAGCUCACAGAUAGUGUCCUGUCCGGUCUCCUGUCCUGCCUUCCUGCCUUGACCAAAUUAGCAAUAUUGAUCAGUCCAGAAUUGACGUCUCUACAGUUGGCAUAUUGCACGGCACUGGAAGAGUUGGAAAUUGGAUAUAGCAAGUCGCUUCCAUCGAUCGAGGGGCUCCAGUUCUGUAGAAACCUGACAUCCUUGAAAGUAUUUAAGUCCCCUGACUCCAGUUCCUGUUUGGAGUAUGUGUCGCGCCAGCAAGGGGCCUCUGAGAUCUGGUCUCGACUGAAAACUCUUAACAUUAGUGACCCAUCAUCUGCCCUUUCCAAGCCCUUGUGCAAACAGCUCACAACUCUAAGAUGCCUAAACUUCACCUGUGGGGGUGAUAAACAGGGAGAGACCUUGGUGACCCUAACAGAAGAACAAGAGAGCGUGUUACAGCUUCUAACCUCACUCCAAAAACUUGUAUUUCAUAGCUUCCCGAAUCUCUUGUCACUUCCUGCAAACCUACAAAGCCUGACCUCCCUCAAGAUGUUAUCUAUCAAUCAUUGUCAGAGGAUCACAAGGCUUCCAGACAUGGGCCUUCCACCUUCACUUAGGUACCUUAAGUUAGUCAGUUGCAGUGAGGAGCUAGGUAUGCAAUGUAGAAUUGCAGCAACUAAAAAGCUAAGGGUCAAGAUUGAAUAUCUGAAAUAA
rnacentral:rRNA from 1 species